rnacentral:rRNA from 1 species
UACGUAGGGGGCAAGCGUUGUCCGGAAUUAUUGGGCGUAAAGCGCGCGCAGGCGGUUCUUUAAGUCUGGUGUCUAAGUGCGGGGCUCAACCCCGUGAUGCACUGGAAACUGGGGAACUUGAGUGUAGGGGAGGAAAGUGGAAUUCCACGUGCAGCGGUGAAAUGCGUAGAGAUGUGGAGGAACACCAGUGGCGAAGGCGACUUUCUGGCCUAUAACUGACGCUGAGGCGCGAAAGCGUGGGGAGCAAACAGG